rnacentral:lncRNA from 1 species
AUUGCCAACUACUAGGCACAUUACCCUGAGCUUCUUGUAACAAAGGUAGUGAUGUUCAUUUUAAAAAUAUCAAGAAACAGAUUAAUAAAAUUCAGAAUAUGGUUUAGUUUUUCCUGCUGUGACAUUAGCAUUUGACUACAUUCAUUCUGAGAGAGCCUGAAGCAAAGAUUAUCUGCUUCUCAUUAUUGGGCUAUGCGAAAACACAGCCGACCUGGCCCAGUUCCAGGAACAACAUUGACAUGGUGUUAAAUCCAGAGAAGAUAGCCCCAAGUUAGAGAACAAAGUUGCUCUGCAUAAUAAAUUUCCCAAUUCUCCUCACAAAGUCCAGAAGAGCAACCAGGAGAGCAAAAGAAAAACUGAGUAUAGAAAAGUAGGAAAAAAAAAUCAGAAUAAAAAGAUGGAGAGAAUUGAAGAGAAAGUGAUGGAUAUAACAGGCAACGAAGAUGCAACAUAUCCAUAACAGAAGUCUUACCCCCAGACCCCCUCAAAGAGGAAAGUAAGGCAGUGGGUAGAAACUACUAAAGAAAACAUUGCUGAAGACAAAAAAGAUGACUUGAACCUGUGUACCUGAAGGGAACAUGAUGUGCCUAGAACAUAUAAACAAAAACAGUCGACUCCAAGACAUAGCCUUAAAAUUAUUGUACGUUAUAGAACAGAAAUCUGUUUGGCAUAAGAUAAAAUGACCAAGUAACUUACAUGGGAUUAGAUCUUCACAGAAGACUUUUAAGUUAAAAACACAGUGGAGUAAAUGGAGUAACGUAGUACAAAUACCCAAGAAAAGAAAUGUAACACCCUCCCCACUUCGGGAUUUUUAAAUUCAGCCAAAUGACCUUCAAGUAGAAAGACCAUAGACAAACCUCAAUGAAGAGGAAGGAAGGAAUCAGGAAAUGAUGUUCCUGUGAGCACUCCCUGAGUAAUCCACUAAGCUAUGAGCUUCACACAAUCAAGAAAUGUUUAGGAAGCUUUUCAUUAGGACUAGUGGUGAGAAAUGAAUAUGUUUAACUGAAGAACUAAGACUAAAUAAAGGGCACGAGUGUGAGAAAUCCU